rnacentral:rRNA from 1 species
AGCGAACGCUGGCGGCAGGCCUAACACAUGCAAGUCGAACGGAUCCUUCGGGAUUAGUGGCGGACGGGUGAGUAACACGUGGGAACGUGCCUUUUGGUUCGGAACAACUCAGGGAAACUUGAGCUAAUACCGGAUGUGCCCUUCGGGGAAAGAUUUAUCGCCAUUAGAGCGGCCCGCGUCUGAUUAGCUAGUUGGUGAGGUAAAGGCUCACCAAGGCGACGAUCAGUAGCUGGUCUGAGAGGAUGAUCAGCCACACUGGGACUGAGACACGGCCCAGACUCCUACGGGAGGCAGCAGUGGGGAAUCUUGCGCAAUGGGCGAAAGCCUGACGCAGCCAUGCCGCGUGAAUGAUGAAGGUCUUAGGAUUGUAAAAUUCUUUCACCGGGGACGAUAAUGACGGUACCCGGAGAAGAGGCUCCGGCUAACUUCGUGCCAGCAGCCGCCGUAA